CCGGAAAUCAAAUGGGAAGGGUUCCCUCCUGUUCCAAGUGAGUUCCAGAAGAAUUACUCAUGCUCCUUAACCUAUGAGUCACACAGGAGUCUAGGAGAGUGUUUCCAAAACAGGCCGACAAUAAGAUAAACAGAGCAAUUGAUAUGUGACAGUCUGGAGGGGCAGGACUGCAACUGACCAAAGCAAGUGACUGAGUCUAGAGCAAGAGGACAGUCAGCCUAGGAUGCCUGAGCUUCCCUGGAGAAUCUGUGGACAACCAGACCUCAGCAAACCAACUCAGAGCAUUUCCUGAAAAUGAACAUCCGCCCCGAGGGAAUGCUGUGUGAGUGUUUCCCACAGAGCGAGGUGGCAUCUGCCUAGCUGGAGGGCUGGCAGCACACCGAAUCUGCCUGCAGUGGAUUUUGAAACGUGGAACUGUGGCUAGUGGGAUGUCAAACAGACUGAGAGCUGCUUGCCAUGAUGGAGAUGAGGAAUGUAAGUCCAGCAUGGUGAAAAUGGUCUUGGAACCACAUGUCUUGCUUGAGUCAGUAUUCUUCAAGCACAAAAGAGAGCACCCCUCCCCUCUCCCAGGUCUGAAGUCCUAUAGACCUCCAAGAAGAAAAUGCCUGCAACCCAGAAAAGGGCAGGAGAUAAAGAGCUUUGGGAAGGCCAAGCUACAGGGCAGAAGCCUCUGUGUUCCUGAGUCAUAAUUUGGAAGAGAGCUGCUCAGAAGAGCCACUCAACCCAUACCACAUUGUGAUGAGAUACAAACACUGAUGACUGAACCACUGAGCAUCUGAGGUUCAUUUGUAACCUAAGCUUUUCCUAUAUUGAUUAAUACGUUGGCAAU
rnacentral:lncRNA from 1 species